rnacentral:rRNA from 1 species
AGAGUUUGAUCCUGGCUCAGAACGAACGCUGGCGGCAGGCUUAACACAUGCAAGUCGAAGGUGAAGCGGGACUUCGGUCCCGUGGAAACUGGCGCACGGGUGAGUAACGCGUGGGAAAUUACCUAGUGGUUCAGAAUAACCGCGGGAAACUGCGGCUAAUACUGAAUACGCCCCGAGGGGGAAAGAUUUAUCGCCAUUAGAUGUGCCCGCGUCGGAUUAGCUUGUUGGUGAGGUAACGGCUCACCAAGGCGACGAUCCGUAGCUGGUCUGAGAGGAUGAUCAGCCACACUGGGACUGAGACACGGCCCAGACUCCUACGGGAGGCAGCAGUGGGGAAUAUUGGACAAUGGGCGCAAGCCUGAUCCAGCCAUGCCGCGUGAGUGAAGAAGGCCCUAGGGUUGUAAAGCUCUUUCACCGGGGAAGAUAAUGACGGUACCCGGAGAAGAAGCCCCGGCUAACUCCGUGCCAGCAGCCGCGGUAAUACGGAGGGGGCUAGCGUUGUUCGGAAUUACUGGGCGUAAAGCGCGCGUAGGCGGCUUGCCAAGUUGGGGGUGAAAUCCCAGGGCUCAACCCUGGAACUGCCCUCAAAACUGGUUCGCUAGAGUCCGGGAGAGGUGAGUGGAAUUCCCAGUGUAGAGGUGAAAUUCGUAGAUAUUGGGAAGAACACCAGUGGCGAAGGCGGCUCACUGGACCGGUACU